rnacentral:rRNA from 1 species
UACGGGGGGGGCAAGCGUUGUUCGGAAUUACUGGGCGUAAAGGGCGCGUAGGCGGUUCGCUAAGUUGAAUGUGAAAACUCUGGGCUUAACCCAGAGCCUGCAUUCAAUACUGGCGGGCUAGAGUUCUGGAGGGGAUAGCGGAAUUCCUGGUGUAGCGGUGAAAUGCGUAGAUAUCCGGAAGAACACCGGUGGCGAAGGCGGCCUGCUGGGCAGUUGCUGACACUGAGGCGCGACAGCGUGGGGAGCAAACAGG